rnacentral:rRNA from 1 species
UACAGAGGUCCCGAGCGUUGUUCGGAUUCACUGGGCGUAAAGGGUGCGUAGGUGGUGAGGUAAGUCGGAUGUGAAAUCUCCGGGCUCAACCCCGGAAAUGGCAUUGGAAACUACCUUGCUAGAGGAUUUGAGGGGGGGAUUGGAAUACUUGGUGUAGCAGUGAAAUGCGUAGAUAUCAAGUGGAACACCAGUGGCGAAGGCGAAUCCCUGGAAAAUACCUGACACUGAGGCACGAAAGCUAGGGGAGCAAACAGG